rnacentral:rRNA from 1 species
AUUGAACGCUAGCGGGAUGCUUUACACAUGCAAGUCGAACGAGUGGCGGACGGGUGAGUAAUAUAUCGGAAAGUGCCCAGUAGCGGGGGAUAACUACUCGAAAGAGUGGCUAAUACAGCAUACUAUUGGAACGGCCGAUAUCGGAUUAGCUAGUGGGGGGGGUAAAGGCUCACCAAGGCAACGAUCCGUAGCUGGUUUGAGAGGACGACCAGCCAAACUGGGACGGAGACACGGCCCAGACUCCGACGGGAGGCAGCAGUGGGGAAUUUUGGAAAAUGGGGGAAACCCUGCUGCAGCCAUCCCGCGUGUAUGAGAAGGCCUUCGGGUUGUAAAGUACUUUUGGCAGAGAAGCGGUAUUUGCAGAAGAAGCACCGGCUAACUACGUGCCAGCAGCCGCGGUAAUAC